CUAAGAUGGGCAGUGAGRCUGAGCUCAGGUCCUGACAGAGCCUGUUUGCAGUACUGUGCUGGAGGUGACCUGGGGACAGGACAGGUACUGAUGCUUGGAGAGGGAGGUCCAAACGCCAGCAAGGCAAAAUGCCRUCUCUAUCUAUGCAUCUGCAAGGGGAGAGCAGCCUGGGACCCCUGAGCUGGGCCGUGCCAGCAAUGACACAAGCUGGACCCAGCUCCCACCGCUGCAGGACUCAUUACGAGCCAUUAUCUGGCUGGUUAACGGGCUGGAGCUUCUCACAGGUGACUUCUCAACUGUUCAUUUAGCCACAAAUCACCGUGGGGCUGGCAGUUUAUUUACCUUCCCCACCAGCCUCCUGUGGCUUCCCAGACUGCCGAGAUAGCGGGUAGCCCUGCUGCAAGGGUAGAAGGGCAGCAUCCCACCGAGGGGCUGUAAGCUAAGCCUUAAAAGCUUGAGCUUUUAAGCUCAACAGACCAGAAAUCUGGGUGCGUGGCACCUCUCUGGGACUGAUCCCUGUAGAAACCCAUGUUAAAAGCAACUUACCUUGACUAUGGUCAAGAGGUGCCCUGCCCCACCAGAAGGUCCUGAUAUUAAACCUUUUGUCUACACGCAGCCAAGCAGCACCUUAGCUGGAAAUCAAGGCACAGCCCCAGUGCGUGUUGUGUCUCAUCUGAUGUCUGAGAUAAGGGCUYGAUCCUGGGAAAGUGAAAAUCUGAUGCCGGUUGGCAACUUUUAAUCGGAGCGUGGAUUUUCCUCGGCACCCUUGGCUUUGAUCUUGGGGCAGUUGGAUUUGCCGAGAGAUGUUUUGUUGCUGCCCAAGGUGACACUGAGGAAAUGGCAGGGCUAUAAAACUGAACUGUGCCCCCAAAUACUUAUCUGUGACCCCCCUGGCCACACCUCACAUGUCUGGUGAAGGAUGAGAACUGUUGGAUACAAAAUCAUGGAUAUCCACAGGAUUGUGUGCACCGAGACUGGGCGUAUUUGGCAGUUUGUGGUGUUCGUGUGGGUGCUUGUUUUUCUAUUUUUUUUUUCCUUCUGUUUGGCUGCACAU